CACGUAGGGCGCAAGCGUUGUCCGGAAUUAUUGGGCGUAAAGAGCUCGUAGGCGGUCCGUCACGUCCGCUGUGAAAACCCAGGGCUCAACCCUGGGCUUGCAGUGGAUACGGGCAGACUAGAGGUAGGUAGGGGAGAAUGGAAUUCCCGGUGUAGCGGUGAAAUGCGCAGAUAUCGGGAGGAACACCGGUAGCGAAGGCGGUUCUCUGGGCCUUACCUGACGCUGAGGAGCGAAAGCGUGGGGAGCGAACAGG
rnacentral:rRNA from 1 species